rnacentral:rRNA from 1 species
GACGAACGCUGGCGGCGUGCUUAAUACAUGCAAGUCAACUGAACUUGAAGUAGCAAUAUUUCAAGGGAGGUGGCGCACGGGUGAGUAACACGUAGGUAAUCUGCCUUUAGGUCUGACAUAAUUCCGCGAAAGCGGGACUAACUUCAGAUGAUGCAGCGGCUCGACAUCGAGACAGUUGUUAAAUCUUCGGAGCCUAAAGAUGAGCCUGCGUCUGAUUAGGUAGUUGGCGGAGUAAAAGCCCACCAAGCCUGCGAUCAGUAGCUGGUCUGAGAGGAUGAUCAGCCACACUGGAACUGAGACACGGUCCAGACUCCUACGGGAGGCAGCAGUAAGGAAUAUUGCUCAAUGGCCGAAAGGCUGAAGCAGCAACGCCGCGUGGAGGAUG